AAUAGAUACCCAGGUAGUCCACGCCGUAAACGUUGGGCACUAGGUGUGGGGUCUAUUCAACGGACUCCGUGCCGUAGCUAACGCAUUAAGUGCCCCGCCUGGGGAGUACGGCCGCAAGGCUAAAACUCAAAGGAAUUGACGGGGGCCCGCACAAGCAGCGGAGCAUGUUGCUUAAUUCGAGGCAACGCGAAGAACCUUACCUGGGUUUGACAUGUAGAGAAAAGCCAUAGAGAUAUGGUGUCCUGGGUUCUACACAGGUGGUGCAUGGUUGUCGUCAGCUCGUGUCGUGAGAUGUUGGGUUAAGUCCCGCAACGAGCGCAACCCUUGUCCUAUGUUGCCAGCACGUCAUGGUGGGGACUCGUAGGAGACUGCCGGGGUCAACUCGGAGGAAGGUGGGGACGACGUCAAAUCAUCAUGCCCCUUAUAUCCAGGGCUGCAAACAUGCUACAAUGGCCGGUACAAAGGGCUGCGAAACCGCGAGGUGGAGCGAAUCCCAUAAAGCCGGUCUCAGUUCGGAUUGGAGUCUGCAACUCGACU
rnacentral:rRNA from 1 species